GCCCUGGUGGCGCAAUGGUUAGGCGCUUGGCUGCUAACCAAAAGGUCGGUGGUUCAAAUCUGCCCUGAGGCU
rnacentral:tRNA from 1 species